GGAAAAAUUGAGACUAAAUAUCCCAUUUACAGUAAUAAUAAAUAAAAUAAAAUGUAAUUAAUUUCGACAAAAUUUUAUUACAAUGCUUUGUAAUGUACCGGAGAGAAAACGAGUAGCACCGAUGGUUUCCCGAUUCUCGAGCACGCAACGUACAACUGAUGUACCCGCACUUCGCUACGGCAGUCUACAGGCAGAACACUUGCGCCGCUCAUUAUACAUGCCCCUCCUUGUGGGUACGCCACUGCCGCACUUCGAAUGGAAAAAAAAUCAAAGCAAUGCUCGUUGCCAUGGAGAUGCAGAAGGCAUAAACAAUGCAAAAUCCCGCUGUCCCACUGUUGGCCGGGCUUAACCACCCUUGGGAGUUGAUUUUCGGAAAACGUCAUCCAGCAUAAAAUGAGGAACAUUAAUGCUAAGUUCAAGUCUGUAGGAUAUAAAAUUGAAAAAAAGGGGCAAUUUUUUGAUAUUUAAAGUCCCCGUAAAAUUUCAACGGUGAUGAGGACUGCACUAACAGUCAAUUAGUUGUUGCCAUAGAGACGAAUGAAGCAUCAACAAAGUAACAGCCGUUGCCAUGGUGAUUUUCUACCAAAAACUGGAAUUUUGAUAUUUUACACCCCCAAAACUCCCUUUGGGAGCUGAUUUUCGGAAAAUCAUAUCUUAGUGAGCGUCUACAUACCUACAUCACAAAAUGAGUAACUAUGCUAAGUUUCAAUCGGUUGAAAGAUUUCAAGUCAAUCGUAAUGAGUCAGUCAGUAGUAUUUCGCACAAAUAUAUUUUUAAAUUUAAAUAAUUUUACAUAAAAUAAUAAUCAAAUCUAUACAGAAAUAUGCCUCGAAUUGAAAAAAAAAAUCGAUCUAAGCGAUGCCCGUUGCCAUGAAGACGCAGAAGGCAUAAACAAUUCAAAAUCCCGUUGUCAUGGAGAUGGAGUACCCACUGUUGCCAGUGCUUAACCACCCUUGGGAGCUGAUUUUCGGAAACGCUGUCAUUAAUCGAAAUAAAAAGUGUCCUAUAUAUAAAGUUGGACAAAGUUACAAAUAUUUGUGCGAAAUUUCAUUAAAAUCAAUGCAGUAGUUUCGGAAACUAGCGCGGAAAAACAUUGUGACACGAGAUUUUUAUAUAUAAAGAUUUAAUUCUGUUUUGCUACACUUGAAUUGUAAAUCCUGAAUUACAACAGCCCGUCGCAUCCGUCCGUCCGUCAGCCGCCAAGCGAUAUACAACUUCACUUCACGUCACUGCUUGGAUUUUGGCCUUGAGCGGUAUCCGUUUAGCCAGAAAUAUCAAUUUCAUUAUUCUUUUUCAUCAUCUUUUAUCGCAAGUGUAUAUUUUGAAUAAGUCUCAAUUUUACUCCCAUACCUUACCCGGGACUCGAACCCAGAACCUCUCCCACCAUAAGCCGGUGUGCAACCGACUACGCUACGGAGGUCGGCUGGCGAUUUACAACACUCCGCUCGUCCGUCAUAAUAUUUCUCCAUGUCAAUGCUGACAACUGUUGAGAAAAAUUAACAAUUUGGUGGGAAAAAAAUUAUAUGUAAUUAUAUUACUUAAACAAUUAUGUAAAGUAAGUACUUGAAACUCAUUAAACUCAGAGGUUUUUUUUUUUCGGUAUGUAUUUUCACAUUUCCAGAGUUACCAUACGUAAUUAUAAUAUUUCCGUGACUUAGACCAUUUUUGUUUCAAAAAAGAGCUUUCGAUAUGUGUCUAAACGUAAGCUAAGAAAUAUUUUUGGAAUCAGCUAAACAAUUAAACAAACUUUAAUACAUUUUAAUAUAUUUUAUCUGCAAACACCUAGAAGACACACUAGGAGGUUAUAGUUUCAUCCGUUCACCCGUCAAUUAUAAAGUUAUCAAGCUUUAGACGGAUGAGUGGAUGACAUUUUUCGGUCCAUCUUAUUGGGUGCAGGUCACGUAAUUGACAGACGGAUGACGGAUGGACGGGCUAUUGUAAUUCCGGCCUUAGUUGCCCACACCCUUACAAUCAAAUUAUACAGCAAUUUAUUAUUCUAUUGUCAUGCCGUCAACUGAUAAGGAAUAAGUUUGUAAAGUGCGUACGUAAAUUCGUUAAGUUAACUAAUUAUUUUUUAUUUUAUAUAUAUAUAUCUUUUCGGGGGUUUUGUAGGUAUUUUAAUAUCGUAAUGUCAACUUACUUAAGUUAAUUGAAAGAAAAAUUACGUACAAAUUACAUAUCAACAAUAGCCCAGGUUAAAAUAUGAAAUUUGAGACUAUUGUAUUUAUUUACUAAAGAAAUAAUUAAUUUUUGGUGUUUAUGCAGUUUUUCUUAAAAAUCUGGAAGAACACCCCCCGAAAAAAAUUCCUGGGUACGCCUAUGAUCUGGCCAUUACAUUAGCACUACAUAUGUACGGUACUUCCUCACCUGCAAAUAAGUUUGAAAAUUACAUGUAAAAAAUAUUUUACCUUCGCAGGCUUGACUAUAAUUUCUUUCAUACUUGUUUAAUUUUACUACCUAUAUAAUUCUGGGGAAAAAAGUUACAAGAACCAACGAGUUUUACUGGAAAAUUUUCUUUUCUACUAAAAAAAAAUUAACAUUAUUUAUUUACUUAUAAACCUUUUCGGAGUAUUUUACUGAUACUGAAGGAACCUUAAGGCGUUUAUAAAGUUCUAUUUUUUCUUAGUAUUGUUGUAAAUGACAAGUUAUUCUCAACUAAGUCAUUUGUAAAGUAAAUUUUUACAUAUUUGAUAGAGUAAAAUUACUUUUAGUCGGUGCUAAAUUGCUCCUCCAUUGUUGCAGUAAAAUGACACUGAACCUAGUGAACAAAAUUACUUCGACAUAUGCUGUAAUAGCUGGAACUAAUGCAAGUGACACAAGCGCCCCUGGCAGCUGAUUUCGGAAAUAAAAAUAUUGCGACUGGAACGAAAGUGAUUAAAGAAUCAGUCGAUAACCACCUGUAAUCACAAUGGCUUCCUAGGGACCUGUCUAUAAUUAUAACUAAUAGGCAUAGUUUAUAUACCUUAUUUAAUCCAUAAUUUACAACUUAUUUUUUAAGCUGUUGGUAAAGGUCUUGCUUUCGCAACACGAGAUGAGUGUCUGCGAUCUUGUUUCGAGCCCGCUCCACUGCACUCGGGAUUAUAAAAUUGAUCUACAAGAAGACACACUUGUGACACCUAGUAACGAACUACGGAACCUUCCGUGAUGUCAUAGUGCAAAGUUGCAUUAAAUUUUUAUUUGAACUAAUAGAAUUACUCAUUGAAACUAAAAUUACACAUACGUUGUAAAUGUCAUUUGUAAUGUUAUAUUGUUAAAUAACCUGUCUGUGAUGUGUGAAUUUUCACAUACUUUGUGAGUGUUAUUUUUAACAAAAUUUUGUCUUUACGGAGACCUGUGUGGGUUAAAUACAUGUACACAUGUUGGGUAAAAAAUUAAAAUACAUUAGUGGACUGUGUAUUUGGAAAACCAUAUCUAUUCGAGGACCAAUUGAAGAAGUGCCAUUUCAAGACAGUGAAUACUCCCAUUUACAAUUCCGACGAAGUGAAGCAGUCUGUAAACACAGUAUCGAGAAACUCGGUCGAGAAAAAAAACUAUUUGAGGAAAUGAUCUGGCUGGUCUUGGCUUUCAGUAAACUGAUUGGAGCUGAGAAUUAGUCAUUUCAAACCAACGCAGAACCAAAUGUUUUGCUAACUUUCUCUAGUGUUCAUAGUACAGGGGAAUUAAAAUUAAUAAUACUUGUAAAUAAAAGUUUUAUUUUAUUUUGUGCACCUGAAACCUGGACUUUUUUUGUUUAAAAUAAAAUUGAAGUGCUUUUAUUUCAAUACAUUAUAAAUAAUGGUUUUUGAGCAUGAACAACCUUUUAUGGCUCCGUCGAAGAUCGAAUCAAGGUCACGAACUGACCGAAUCAAUCAUAUUACCAUGUAAAAUUUUCAAUAAUUUUUAGAAUUUUUGUUUCAAUUUUCUAAGUUAAAAUUAUGAAAUAUUUUCAGUAUGGCGUCCAACAUGGCCGACAAGAUUGCGGAUGCCACGACUGUCUGGUAAUAAAUACUAUUGCUUUCUAGGGAAUAAAAUUAAACCAAUAUGGCAGCAGGAACUUUUGCAGAUAAAAAAACAAUUAUGGCAUACAAUUUGGCCGUCAUGACGCUAUACUGUAUAGCCUAAUAUCUGUCAUGACGAAAGUGGUGGAGGGCCAGUCUUCUAGUAGUACCCAUGGAGAAAGGACCCGUCACCAUUUUUAAUCGAAUGAUCUCGUCGGGUUGUAACCCAGGUCUACAAGCUCUGUGAUAUAAGUGCGUUUUUAAAAUUAAAAUUUGAUUAAAUUUUAUAAAUUUUUUCUGAGUUUUUUUUGGAUAAUUACGAAAUUUAAAGUUGGCAGACGUCACAUAAUUCAAAAUGGCAGAAUCCAACAUGUCGACAAUUUCCAGAAAGCGAAAUGCUGGAAACUUCUUGAAAUCAAUAUGGGCGAAUCUAAAAUUGGAGAAUCCAAAUGGCAGAAUUUAAGAUGGCUGCCGAAGUCAAUGUAUAGGUUCAAGGUCAAGCUCAAGAGUCUUCAGCAGCUUACUGGAGUCUGAUAAAUUAAAAUAUUUAGUUCUUUUAAACCCAAAAAAAUUUUUGAGGCUUUUUUUUAAUUUAAUGGGAAAUUUUCCCUUGAAAAUGGGAAAUCUUUUAAUUUUCAUAUUUUUUGUUUUGCGAUUUUUUAUGGAAAAUAUUUCCCAAAAAAGGAAAUUUUUUGUCAUUUUGGUAAAUUUUUCGUUAAAAUUUAAGGCCAAGAUCAAAGGUCACUGUCAAGGUCAUCCAAGAUGGCCGCCGUGACAUCACAGUCUGAUAUGGCGGAUUGGCUCCAGCUCCAAACUCCGACUCCAGCAGGCGGACAUACGAAGUAUACCUACUACUAACAAAUAUAUUUUCAAUUUUUACGGAAUAAACGAAAAUAUAUUAUAGUUUUGAAAUAUCCUUUUGUUUGAUUUUCUUUUCAGUAAAAGAUAUUAAUUUGUUUUAGUAUGUAUAAUAAUAUUGUUAACUCACCUAUUUAUUAUGACAUUUUGUUUACUAAUCAUAAUGAAAGUGUUAUUUAUUUUUUAUAAUAUGAAAUUCUUAAGGCAAUCUGAAAUAUUAUAACUGAGCAGUCAAAAAAGUAUCAAAAGAAUUAAUGAGGAAUAGUACAUUUUUUUUAAACUUGUAAUAUACUUUAUAAAUAUAUUAAAGAUAAGUGGAGAUAGAUUACCGCCUUGCGGAACACCUAAUGUAACAGAAAAGCUUAAAGAUAAUACAUUAGCGACUCUGAUUGAAAAGUAUUUAUUUAUGAGAUAAUUAGAGAACCAGGCUACGGACUGCUUGUUGAAACCUCAACUGCAUAAUUGUAUAAUAUUAAUUACAAAAAUCACGUCACUAAACUAUAUCUUGCAAGGCAAGCUUAACACUUAAUAGUCUAGGUACCGUAAAAUAUUUUGACGUCUUAACUUGUUUGAACAACAGUGAAAUAUACUUAAUUUCGAAACAAAAUAUAUAUAUAUAUAUUUGAACUCGUAAAACUAUUCCCAUGGGGUACAACUUCAUGAUGUAACCCACUCCGUCACUUCUAUCUUACGUGAGGCGAGAAAACAUUAUAUUGAGUCGUAUACCUAUACUAUAAUAAUGGGGAGGUAAACUAAAAUAAUGUAAAUGUAUUUAAAUUUACUUAAAAAUUAAGUAGCGCCUGAACAGUAGAUGCUUGAAUAUGCAGCUUAUAUGUAACUGUUGCUACCACGCUUUCAAGCCGCCAUGUUUGAAAGCGAGUUGCCGAUCGUGAAGUCAGGUUCCUACAGCCUAGAAGCAGUCCGGCUCUCCCGAUCGGCGGCCAGCGAGAAUCGAUAUGCCACACGUAACUUAGAACACCAUACACUUCAAUCGUCUGAUAAUCGUCAUUUUACGAUCGGGAACUCUUUUCUGAGUAACUUAGAUUAGACCCCUAAAUCCACUACCUGAAAUUUUCCUUAAAAAUUAUAAUAAAAGUUCCAAAAUGCUUUUUUAUCAUCCUGACAUGUUUUACAAUCAUCGUCUAGGGUGUUGUGAUACUUCAAGUAUGUUUACCAGUAAUUGACUAUUUUAAAGAGUAGUUAUGUGAGGUUAAGGCAUAUUAAAAAUAGUGCAAGAUCGUGUUAUUUUGUUUGUUGGUUAGUUAAGCGACAUUUAAAAUUGUGUGAACGUUUGGUUAGGUUACCUAUGUGUACUUUUUAAUUGAGUGAACGGUUGGUUAGCUAAAUAAAAAAAUACUCUAAAAUAGCAAGGACUGUUGGUUAGGAUAAGUUAGCUAAAUUUUAUAUUGGUAAUUCCUAACCAAUAGUUCAAACGAUUUCACAGUAACUUUUUUUUUAAUGUAGCUAAUCCAACCUAACAUACCCUCCUCACAAUAUCAGAGUAUUUGUAAUAUAUAACCUAACCACUAUUUUUAAUGGUAAAGUACUUGAAGUAUCACAACGCCCUUUUAGAAAAUGAUUGUAAAACAUGUCAGAAAGUAAAUAUACAUAUUUUUUAUUUUAAAUUAUUUUGGUUAAAAAAAAUGGAUCUCCUUCAGAGUUACCUAAACUUUGAUCAACUUAGUGCCAAGCGACAAACACCUUCCAUUACACCCUUCCAAAUAGUUAAAAAGUCUGCAAUACUCGUUAGUUGUGGCAGCACGGAUCUGAUUGUCUUAUUUUGAAGGAGACGUCUUACAUGCCAGGUAUCAAACGACUCAGCAGUCUUCUUUACGUCAUAUGUCUCUUUAAUCUUUAUUAGGGCCGGUUUCACCAAGCGAAAUUAUCUCGAUAAAGUAAUGAAUUAUCCAGAUUAACUGAAUAUCCCGUUUCACCACACCGAAUAUCUCGAUCUUUUAGUGUUAUCGAGAUAAAAUAUUCUAACCACCGAUUUUCGUGGUUAAAGUCUUAUUAUCGAGAUAAUAUUGUAAAACGAAGUGACGAGAGGAGAUUUUAAAAAUUGUAAUGGCUCGAGGCAUGUACAAUUUGAUUUUUGAAGAUGAAAGUGAUGAAGAAGAUGCCAUUGUUCGUCGGCCACGAUGGAUGCGAGAUAGAAGCGAUUAUUUUGAAAUGUAUGAUGAAGAAGACUUUAAAAUACAUUUUCGCCUUUCAAAACAGUCGACUAUGUUUGUUUUGGAACUUAUAGAAAAUCAACUACAGUUUCCCGAAAAGAAUAUGUCAGUGUCGCCAAUGAACCAACUGCUGGCUACACUUCGAUUUUAUGCUACAGGCUGUAACCAGCUAACCAUUGGGGAUUAUGCUGGCUUUAGUAAACCCACAGCUCACCGAAUAAUACAUAGGGUUAGCUCCGCAAUUGCAUCUCUUCGACCACAGUUCAUUAAAUUCCCAGAGACGAUGGAAGAACUGAAUUUAGCACAAAGGGAUUUCUAUGCAAUUGCUAAAUUUCCCAGGGCUAUUGGUGCUAUGGAUUGCACUCAUGUAAAAAUCCAGUCACCAGGUUGGUUUAAACACUGAUUUUAUGCUACCUUUUUAUUAAACAUUGCAAUCCACAUACAAGCUUGUUUUAUGUUUGUUGCAGGUGGAAACAAUGCAGAAUUCUACCGUAACAGAAAAGGUUACUUCUCUGUGAAUGUGCAAGUAAUUUGUAAUACAAAAUUGGAAAUUACAGAUAUUGUUGCACGAUGGCCUGGUUCCUCACAUGAUAGUACCAUAUUCAACAAUAGCAACAGAAGGGCAUGUUUUGAGAGAGGGGAGUAUGGUGAUUCUGUACUACUUGUUGAUGCGGGCUAUGCUUGUAGGUCAUAUCUAAUGCCUCCAUUAGAUAAUCCCAGAAGUCCACAGGAACACCUAUUUAAUGAGUCGCAAAUUAGGUCAAGAAAUCCUGUAGAGCGAACAUUCGGUUGCUGGAAGCGACGUUUCCCAGUCUUAUCUUUAGGAUUGAGAGUGUCAUUAGAACAUUCGUUUGCCAUCAUUGUAGCGACUGGGGUGCUGCAUAAUAUCCUGCGACAAACUGGGGAAGAACUCCCUCCAGACGACCCUAACCUCAAUCUCCACCUCCCUUGGCAACAGUUGCUUGAGGAAGGAAAUGUACAGCAGAACAACGAAAAUGCAAACAGAAGGCCCAGAUAUGACAGUGUCAGGCAUUUACUGAUUGAAAACUAUUUCAGGAGGUAAAUGAAAUUUACAUAUACCUAUAAUUAAAUACCUAUAUAUGUGUGUGUGUUGUAAUACUUAUUUAAGAUACGAUUAUUUAUCACUCUGUGUAUUUUCAGUUUGUUGUAGGUCAUACUGAUCUAUAUGUCACACAGAGAUGCCAUCAACUUGAAGAUUUGCUGGUGAAAAUAACUACAUAUAGCAAGAUGUAUGGAAUAUUUUAAUACAUUUGCAUUGUACAACUGCUUAGAUCAUACAAAAUAAUGUGACAUAAGCGAACAUGUAUUAUCUUUUAUAUAAUUCUUAACAUUUGUACUUGAAACUGUUUGUUAAUAGGCACAAUGAAUAUCACUUUGUAAAUAUACAUGUAAUAUAUAACAAUUAUGUCAUGAUAGUUGAGCAAAUGUUUAAUACAUAAGAACAAUUAAAUUACUGC